GUAUAGGCUUCAGGAGAGUAUUGAAGAGAAUACCAGUCAACAAAAGGAAUAAUAAGGAGAUGCUGAUAAUUUGUCUGACACAACAAUCAAGGUUUUUUCCAGUUGAUCAACGAGUGUCCUUGCCCUCUCAUUGCUGUAUUCCUGGAGAAGUGACACUUCAGAAUCUAAAAUCUGAGGGAUUAGUUGAAUUUAGCCAGACAAAAGGGACGGAGCCAGGAGGAGAAAAGAGUGCAGCAUCGAAAGUGGAAGGGAUGCCAAGUGCAAAGGCCCAGAGACAGGAGAGAGCAAGAUUCUCCAAUGUCUAGAACAAGGUGGACACUCAAUGAUUUGUUGAGUGAGUGAAUGAAUAAAUGAACGGCAUCAAUGUGGAAAGAAGAGCUAUAAAGAAUUGAAAGAGAAGGGCCUCUUUGGGAGAUAACUUGAACAGAAUGAAGCAAGUACUUGUUCUACCAGCUCAUCUGUGGCCAGAUUAUAGUUACCUAAGAAUAUGAAUAUCUGUUUGAUACAGAUUUAUUAUAAGGAAUUGGCUCAUAUAAUUAUGGAGGCUGCGAAGUACCAAGGUCUGCAGACUGCAAGGUGGAGACCUAGAAAACUUGGUGUGGUUCUAGUUCAAGUGCAAAGGCCUAAGAACCAGGAGAACUGAUGGUAUGUUGGCAGGCCCAAGAGCCAAGAAAUGUUGAUGUUUCAGUUAGGGUCCAAAGGCAGGAAAAAACUUACGUUUGGACUCUAGUCGUCUGGCUGGUGAAGUGCCCUCUAACUCAGAUCUUCAGUUGAUUGGAUAAAGCCCACCCGCACUUUAGGAAGGACAAUCUGCUUGACUCAGUCUGCUAAAAUGCUAAUCUCAUCAAAAAACACCUUCAGAGACACACACCUAGGAUAGCAUUUGACCUAAUCUCUGGGUACCCUGUAGUACCCAGAUCAGGUCAUGAUCUCGUGGCUCAUGAGUUCGAGCCCCACAUUAGGUUCUCACUGCUGUCAGCAUGAUCCCACCUCAGAAGUUCUUUCUCCCUCUCUCUUGCACUUUCUCAAAAAUAAAACAUUAAAGAAAAUUUCUAAAAACUGCAUACGUUAAUGUUCAGUGUUUGUGCUGUAAAGUUCUGUGGGUUUUGACAAAUGCAUACUGUCAUGUAUCUAUAAUUACAGUAUCAUAUGGAACUGUUGCACUGCCUAGAAGUCACCCCUCCUCUCAUAGUCAACCUGACCUCCCUCCCACCGCACCUCUGGCAAUCACUGAUGUUUUCAUUUUUGCCCUUUUCAGAACAUCAUGUAGUUGGAAUCAUAUAGUAUAUAGCCUUGCCGAUGCUUCUUUCAAUUUAUCAACAUGCAUUUAAGGUUCAUAUAUGUCUUUUUUACUUGUUGAUAGCUAAUGUCU